AUACGUAGGUGGCAAGCGUUGUCCGGAUUUACUGGGUGUAAAGGGCGCGUAGGCGGGAUAGCAAGUCAGAUGUGAAAUGCCAGGGCUUAACCCUGGAGCUGCAUUUGAAACUGCUGUUCUUGAGUAUCGGAGAGGCAGGCGGAAUUCCUAGUGUAGCGGUGAAAUGCGUAGAUAUUAGGAAGAACACCAGUGGCGAAGGCGGCUUACUGGACUGUAACUGACGUUGAGGCUCGAAAGCGUGGGGAGC
rnacentral:rRNA from 1 species